UACACUUUCCAUAUGGUGUGGUGUGUAUCGGGUCAAAAGCAAGCAGGGUUUAUGGGGCUAAUGCAUGCCCUUGAUAGAGACAACAACUAAACUAACAACAUGGUUUUCUUCGUGUUGUUUUUUGUACUGAAACAAUAUUAAUGGUUUUGCUUCUCUAACAAAGAUAGUGGUUUGAAACAUAAUGGAGGCCUUGAAACAAUCCAAAAUGACCAUUCAAUAGUGUGGUCAAAACAUAAGGAUACUUGAAUCUGCAAUUAGCUUUUGAUAAUUAUUCCACUUUGGACAUUCAUUUUAAGAUGAUGUGUUGUUUUGGGUUAGAUAUGAGUUUUAAUGGGUCAUAGUGGGCAAACCUGAAAAAUAGGAAAAACUAAACUAAAAACUAAAAACGGAUCAGAAUGGAUAGAUGGUCUUCUCAACUACCUCUUUUAACGCGACGGAUGCAAAAUCCAGAACUGUUUGUCAACAUCAUCGUUCGAUUUCUGUCCAGCAGUGGUUCGAGUUAGAUAUCGAAUCUCAAGAUACAUGAAGACGCCAAGACGGUGUUACCGCAGCAGUUGGACGGCAUACUAUAGUCAACGGCGGCGGCAGGCAAAUGAAGACGCCAAGACGGCUGGUAAGGCUGCCUUAGAGGUGUUUAUGGGUAGUGGUGACCUGUGAUCAACCUGUACAGAAGCAAUGGAGCAACAGCGAGAUGCCAAGGCAGUUCAACAGCGACGGUUCUGGCAACUUUAUACCCAAUGAUCUACCAAGAGCAAGCUAAACAUUUUGACGACGUUCAAGGUGAUGUUGUAUCUAUCGCACUGACAGAGGGAACUUCAGGAUUUCACAGAAUAAAUAACGGGCGGUUUCUGAUUUUGCACAUCACAACCGUAUUCAGUCAUUAUUGAGAGGCGGAUUUUUAACAAGUAAAAGACCUGUAGAUGAAGAAAGGCCUUCCGAAGUUGCAGCGAGUGAAUUGGUUCCAUUGAGUCAACGUCACACUGUUUCCUGUUUAUGUUGACACUAAAACAUUACAAAUAUAGCGCUAAUAUAGACGUGGCAAAUGGGCGGUUAGGUGAGCAUAGAUCGGGUCGGUGAUGUGCCAAAACAGAAACUAUAACCAAUUUUUUGGCUUUUAUGUCUUCAUAACGGAUCGGUUAUUUCUAUCACCAGGAAAGAUGGUUUUGUCAAUUCGAUUAACUGCUGGUUCUGGAGUAGUCCACUACAAGCUCAUUAUAUAAAUCCAGUCAAUUUUA